UACGAAGGGGGCUAGCGUUGUUCGGAAUUACUGGGCGUAAAGCGCGCGCAGGCGGUCUUCCAAGUCAGUGGUGAAAGCCCGGAGCUCAACUCCGGAACUGCCAUUGAAACUGUUAGACUUGAGGAUGAGAGAGGUGAGUGGAACUGCGAGUGUAGAGGUGAAAUUCGUAGAUAUUCGCAAGAACACCAGUGGCGAAGGCGGCUCACUGGCUCGGUACUGACGCUGAGGUGCGAAAGCGUGGGGAGCAAACAGG
rnacentral:rRNA from 1 species